GAUGAACGCUGGCGGCGUGCCUAAUACAUGCAAGUCGAGCGAACAGACGAGGAGCUUGCUCCUCUGACGUUAGCGGCGGACGGGUGAGUAACACGUGGAUAACCUACCUAUAAGACUGGGAUAACUUCGGGAAACCGGAGCUAAUACCGGAUAAUAUAUUGAACCGCAUGGUUCAAUAGUGAAAGACGGUUUUGCUGUCACUUAUAGAUGGAUCCGCGCUGCAUUAGCUAGUUGGUAAGGUAACGGCUUACCAAGGCAACGAUGCGUAGCCGACCUGAGAGGGUGAUCGGCCACAAUGGAACUGAGACACGGUCCAGACUCCUACGGGAGGCAGCAGUAGGGAAUCUUCCGCAAAGGGCGAAAGCCUGACGGAGCAACGCCGCGUGAGUGAUGAAGGUCUUCGGAUCGUAAAACUCUGUUAUUAGGGAAGAACAAAUGUGUAAGUAACUAUGCACGUCUUGACGGUACCUAAUCAGAAAGCCACGGCUAACUACGUG
rnacentral:rRNA from 1 species